rnacentral:rRNA from 1 species
AACGCUAGCUACAGGCUUAACACAUGCAAGUCGAGGGGCAGCAUGGUCUUAGCUUGCUAAGGCCGAUGGCGACCGGCGCACGGGUGAGUAACACGUAUCCAACCUGCCGUCUACUCUUGGACAGCCUUCUGAAAGGAAGAUUAAUACAAGAUGGCAUCAUGAGUCCGCAUGUUCACAUGAUUAAAGGUAUUCUGGUAGACGAUGGGGAUGCGUUCCAUUAGAUAGUAGGCGGGGUAACGGCCCACCUAGUCUUCGAUGGAUAGGGGUUCUGAGAGGAAGGUCCCCCACAUUGGAACUGAGACACGGUCCAAACUCCUACGGGAGGCAGCAGUGAGGAAUAUUGGUCAAUGGGCGCAGGCCUGAACCAGCCAAGUAGCGUGAAGGAUGACUGCCCUAUGGGUUGUAAACUUCUUUUAUAAAGGAAUAAAGUCGGGUAUGCAUACCCGUUUGCAUGUACUUUAUGAAUAAGGAUCGGCUAACUCCGUGCCAGCAGCCGCGGUAAUACGGAGGAUCCGAGCGUUAUCCGGAUUUAUUGGGUUUAAAGGGAGCGUAGAUGGAUGUUUAAGUCAGUUGUGAAAGUUUGCGGCUCAACCGUAAAAUUGCAGUUGAUACUGGAUAUCUUGAGUGCAGUUGAGGCAGGCGGAAUUCGUGGUGUAGCGGUGAAAUGCUUAGAUAUCACGAAGAACUCCGAUUG